GCGUAAAGCGUGCGUAGGCGGCUNAUUAAGUGGGAUGUGAAAUCACCGAGCUUAUNUGGGAAUUGCAUUCGAUCGUGGUGAGCUAGAGUAUGGGAGAGGAUGGUAGACUUCCAGGUGUAGCGGUGAUAUGAGUAGAGAUCUGGAGGAAUACCGAUGGCGAAGUCAGCCAUCGGGCCUAAUACUGACGUUGAGGUACGAAAGCAUGUGGAGCAACCAGGAUUAGAUACCGUGGUAGUCCAUGCUGUAAAUGAUGUCUCAUAGCCGUUGGGCCCUUUGAGGCUUUAGUGGCGCAGCUAACGCGAUAAGUAGCCCGCCUGGGGAGUACGGUCGCAAGACUAAAACUCAAAUGAAUUGCCGGGGGCCCGCACAAGCGGUGGAGCAUGUGGUUUAAUUAGAUGCAACGAGAAGACCCUUCCUUGGCCUUGCCAUACUAGAAACUUUCCAGAGAUGGAUUGGUCCUUUCGGGAAUCUAGAUCCAGGUGCUGCAUGGCUGUCGUCAGUUCGUUUCGUGAGAUGUUGGGUUAAGUCCCGCAACGAGCCCAACCCUUUUCCUUACUUGCCAGCAUUUCGGAUGGGACCUUUAAGGAUACUGCCAGUGACAAACUGGAGGAAGGGGGGGACGACGUCAAGUCAUCAUGCCCCUUACGGCCAGGGCUACACACGUGCUACAAUGGUCGGUACAAAGGGUUGCUACACAGCGAUGUGAUGCUAAUCUCAAAAAGCCGAUCGUAGUCCGGAUUGGAGUCUGCAACUCGACUCCAUGAAGUCGGAAUCGCUAGUAAUCGCGGAUCAGAAUGCCGCGGUGAAUACGUUCCCGGGCCUUGUACACACCGCCCGUCACACCAUGGGAGUUUGUUGCACCA
rnacentral:rRNA from 1 species